UGUAAUCCUGAGGAGGCAGAAGCAGGACU
rnacentral:piRNA from 1 species